AUCUGAAAUCAAGUAAGAACACCCGCUGAACUUAAGCAUAUCACUAAGCGGAGGAAAAGAAAUCAACAGAGAUUACCUCAGUAACGGCGAGUGAAGCGGUAAAAGCUCAAGAUGAAAAUCGGCAUCCAUGCAGGCUGUCGAGUUGUAUUCUAAAGAGGCGAGUCGAUCUAUUGUCUUCUGGAAUAAGUUCUUAGGAAUUUGACACCACAGAGGGUGAAAGUCCCGUACAUGUCCAGGAGAUGUUGGUAGACGAACCUUCGAAGAGUCGGGUUGUUUAGAACUGCAGCCCUAAAUGGGAGAUAUGCUUCUCCUAAGGCUAAAUAUUGAUGGGAGACCGAUAGCGAACAAGUACUGUGAAGGAAAGAUGAAAAGAACUUUGAAAAAAGAGUUAAUAGAUUUGAAGUCGUUGAGAAGGAAGCGGUAAAAAUAAAUUAUUUGGAGGUGACGUGUUAGUUGAGGGCGUAGCUUUGUCUUGAAUGGUACGUUAAAGGCUGUUUAGGAAGAUAGCUGCGACCGAGGCUGACAUUUCAUCUUCGAAAGGCAGUAUGAAGUGAGUGUCGUCGGAAUCACCUGUUGAGAAGUUCUGUGCUUGCGCAGAGGCUCAGUGGGAAAGCGAAGACCUCGCUUGAGGGUGCCAUAGCUUGUAAGAGUUUGGUGAUACUGCCAAAAUGGUUUUUACUGACCCGUCUUGUAACACGGACCAAGGAGUCUAACAUAUAUGCGAGUAUGCUAGUGAGAAAACUGAUAUGCAUAAUGAAAGUGAGAUAGAUGUGAUGGGAGCAAUCUCUGCAACAUCCUCCGACCAUGAUCUUCUGAGAAAGGUUUGAGUAAGAGCAUAUCUGUUAGGACCCGAAAGAUGGUGAACUAUGCUUGAGUAGGGUGAAGCCAGGGGAAACUCUGGUGGAGGCUCGUAGCGAUACUGACGUGCAAAUCGUUCGUCAAACUUGAGUAUAGGGGCGAAAGACUAAUCGAACCAUCUAGUAGCUGGUUCCCUCCGAAGUUUCCCUCAGGAUAGCUGGG
rnacentral:rRNA from 1 species